rnacentral:rRNA from 1 species
GGUUAAGUGACUAAGCGUACAUGGUGGAUGCCUUGGCAGUCAGAGGCGAUGAAGGACGUACUAACCUGCGAUAAGCCGUGAGCAGUCGGUAAGAGACAUUACGACUCACGGAUUUCCGAAUGGGGAAACCCACUUAGCAUAAGCUAGGUAUCGCUGCGUGAAUACAUAGCGUAGCGAGGCGAACCGGGAGAACUGAAACAUCUAAGUACCCCGAGGAAAAGAAAUCAACCGAGAUUCCCUCAGUAGCGGCGAGCGAACGGGGAUUAGCCCUUAAGCAUCUUGGAAGUUAGUGGAACGGUCCUGGAAAGGCCGGCGAUACAGGGUGAUAGCCCCGUACACGAAAACAACCUUGAUGUGAAAUCGAGUAGGGCGGGACACGUGAC